ACACCCCGCUAAUCAGCUGUCAACAGCUCCUGAGGGCUCCAGCUUCAAGAACUCCCUGCCUGGAUGUCACCGAGCGCGUGCAGGCGUUGAUUUCUCCGCCAUCGAGGCAGCAGCAUCUGUAACUCCAGAAGCACCUGGGCCUCUGAGAAGACAACGGUGGUUUUCUGGGAGCUCCCUGCUUGCUGUGGGGUGAGCCUGCAGUUUGCUCCUUCCUGUCACCAUGGAUACGCCUGAAAAACCCCAGUGAUCUCACAGCUCUAUGUCCAUCUCCUUUAAGAGUGGCUGAGAAUUCCAAGACCAGAACGGGGGAGUCCAUCCACAGUCCUGGGCUCUCAGCGUGAGGCUCCAUCCUCCAGGCCCUCGACGCCCAGGCUGUGUCUUCGGCUCCCGGGAGUAUUUCGGGUCUUCCAGGAGCCUGUCUGCACCAGCCCUCCCAGCACAGCAGAGCCCAGCUUCUCUCUCUGGCCUUUGGAACUGCUCAUUAACGGAUCCCCAGCCUUUGGCUCAAUUUCCUCUUCCUUCCACCUCAACACACGCCAGGGGAGACAGGGUGCCUGGGGGAGACAGGAUGUCCCAGGAUAUACAGGGUGCCGGGAGAGAUGGGGUGUCCUGGGAUCAAGGGGGUGCCCAGGGGUAACGAGGCAUCCCCAGGGAGAGGGGGUUCCUUGGGGGAGACGGGGUGCCCAGUGGAGAUGUGGUGCCCGGGGGAGUUGUGUGGUCCUCAUGGGUCCUCAGACUCAGAAUUCCACCCCUGAGGCUGAAUGUGCCCCGUGAGGAGGGCGGGGUCUGCGGAUGGGCAGAUUCUGGAGGACUGGACGGGCUGGGGCACAGCUGUCUAGAGUAAGGCACUCCCCGAGGACUGGACGGCUCGAGUGUGCCUGCUGGAGCCCUCGGUCAAGGGUGGAAGCCGGGUUCCCAGGGGCUGUGGACAUUUCUCCCCUCUGCGCUGGAACCGAAGUCCUCCAGAGCCAGGCUCAUGGUUCCCCUCCAGCGACAUCACCUGGGCCCCGGCCCUCCCAGAACACGAUCCUUGGGUAAACUGAGGCGGGCAUGUCCCAGCGAUGCCCCGCACCACCGUUCUCUGCCUGCUUUGUGAGCAACCUUCUGUGCCUUUACGCCUACCAUUAAUUCACCCUUGAAACCACCGCUAAUUAAAAAACC
rnacentral:lncRNA from 1 species